rnacentral:rRNA from 1 species
CCUACGGGAGGCAGCAGUGAGGAAUAUUGGUCAAUGGGCGCAAGCCUGAACCAGCCAAGUCGCGUGAGGGAAGACGGCCCUACGGGUUGUAAACCUCUUUUGCCGGGGAGCAAGCCUGAGCACGUGUGCACAGGCGGAGAGUACCCGGAGAAAAAGCAUCGGCUAACUCCGUGCCAGCAGCCGCGGUAAUACGGGGGAUGCGAUCGUUAUACGGAUGUAGUGGGGUUAAAGAGUGCGCAGGCGGGCUUUUAAGCCGGCGGUAAAAAUUCAGGGCUCAACCCUGUCGUACCGUGGAAACUGGCAGUCUUGAGUGGGCGAGAAGUAUGCGGAAGGCGUGGGGGAGCGGUGAAAUGCAUAGAUAUCACGCAGAACGCCGAUUGCGAAGGCAGCAUACCGGCGCCCAACUGACGCUGAGGCACGAAAGCGUGGGGAUCGAACAGGAUUAGAUACCCCAGUAGUC